GUGCCAGAGCCGCGGUAAUACGUAGAGUGCAAGCGUUGUCCGGAAUCAUUGGGCGUAAAGGGUACGCAGGCGGAUAUGCAAGUCAAAUGUGAAAACUACCGGCUUAACUGGUAGACUGCGUUUGAAACUGUAUAUCUUGAGUGCAGCAGAGGAGAGCGGAAUUUCUAGUGUAGUGGUGGAAUACGUAGAUAUUAGAAAGAACACCAGUGGCGAAGGCGGCUCUCUGGGCUGACACUGACGCUCAGGUACGAAAGCUGGAGGAGCGAACGGGAUUAGAAACCCCGGUAGUCC
rnacentral:rRNA from 1 species